GUAAGGAAAUGGAUUUUCCCCUAGAGCCUCUGGGGGAACUGCAGCCCUCCCGACACCUUGAUUGUGGCCCAGUGAAAUCCAUUUUGGACUUCUGGCUGUUGAAGUCUGUAAUUUGUGUUGUUUUAAGCCACCCAGUUUGUGAUAAUUUGUGAUAGGAGCCAUAUGAAACCAAUACAGAUGACUUCCAGAAUUCCAUUUUGAGCAACAGGAUAAGUGUAGUACCAUUUACUAAAAUGAGAAAUGUUAGGGAAUGAGCAGACAGAUUUGAAGGGUGGGAAGUAUCAAAGAAAUAUCAAGAAACCAUUUUUGAACUUGCUAAUCUUAAUAUCUGUGAGUAACCCAAAUUGAAAAGAUUAGUUGGCUGUUGAAUACAUCCUUGCAGUUUGCUGAAUUUUUUGGAUCUAUUGAUUGUCAUUUUUCAUUAUAUUUCAUCAUAUUUCAUGUCUCUUGAAAUAUUUAUUCUGCUCCAUUGUCCAUCUUCUUUUUGUCCUGUUAGAAUUGUUGAUAUUAUUCCACAAACCAUUGAGGCUCUGUUCACUUUUUUUUCAUUUUUUCUCUGUGUAUAAGUUUGGAAAUUUCUAUCUACCUGUCUUCAAUUUCACUGAUACUUUUCUUCUGAAAGCCUUUCCUAUUUUAAUUUCAGGUAUUGUAUUUUCAGUUCUGGGACAUCCAUUUGGUUCAUUUUCAGCUUCCAUAUAUUUUCCGAAAUUUUCCAUAUCUUUACUCAUCCAUUUUUCCUAUGAAUUCUUUAAUAUACUUAUAAUAGUCAUUUUAAACUUCUUGUUUGCUAAUUCCAAUAUCUGGUAUGUCUGUGUGUCUGCUUUUAUUGACUGAUUUUGCUUUUGAAUGUGGUCACAAUUUCCUGACCCUUUACAUGUCCAGUAAUUUUCAUUGUACAUUGAAUGAUAUUUUGUAGAGACAUUGGAUUUGCAGUCUUCCUCUGAAAAAUGUUAGUUCUGUUCCAGAAAGCAAUUAAAUUGCUUGUGGAUCCACUUGAUCCUACAGAUGCUUUGUUUUUAGUUUCGUUAGAGUGGCUGUAAUUCAAUUUUUCUCUCAGCUCCAAGGCAUAGACUUUUGGGAAUGAUUCUUCUUACUAUAAGAUGUGACCUUUCUGGAGCAUCAGUGACAAACCCUAGAUUUAAGUCCCCUAAUUAGGCAGGACUUGAAUCCCAAACUGUGUCUCCCUAAUGCCAGGCAGCUACUGAAAUACCUGUUCAGCAUUUUACCCUUCCAACUAUUGCUUUCUGCUGGGUGUGUUGGAGUCUCACUCUAUAUGUAUGCAGCCAGAUUUUGGAAUAGUUCACGUGCAGACUAGGAGGCCACCCCUUUUGUGGUUUCAUACUUUCAUGCACUUACCUAUCCUCACCAAUUUCUAGCAGCCCUGAACUUUGACCUCAGACUUCUGUUUGAGCAAACUGGAAAGUGCUAUCACAGGAAAAGCCAGUUAAAUGUGGAUCUCAUCCAGUGUGCUUCUAUUCUUGAAAGCAUACUAUCAGCUCCAGUCUCUGCCUGCUUUUAGUUGAUAUAGAGAGAGGCAUGGAAAUAGACAUAGAUAUAUAGAUAUAUUUGUUUUUCCAGAGUUUAUAAUUGUUAUUGGCAGGAAACUUAGUCCAAUAUACACUAUUCUGACACACAACCAUCAGAAUUCUGGUAGUUGAAUGGAUGAAUCUUGAUUUCAGGAAAGAAUUCUGAGCAGAAAUAUAAAAAUUGAUAUUUAUCAAUGGGAGAAACAGUCUAGGAAAGUGCUUCUCAUUAUUGGUUUCACGUUAGAAUCUCCUGACAAAAUUUAAUAAUCUAUUUGGCCAGACUACCCCAAAUCAACUAAAUCAGAAUCUCUGGGGAUUGGACCCGAGUAUCAGUAUUUGUUAAAGCCCCACAGGUGAUUUAAAUGUGCACCUAGAAUUGAGAACUGCUGAACUCAAAAGAGGGCAAAGGGUAAAAGAAGAAGUAGAUUCAGAUCCCAGGCUUAUUCAGCAAAGGAAACUGAGAAGGAACAACCAGAGGAAGAUAGGGUCAUAAAAGGCAAGAGAGGAGAGUGUUUCUCUAAGCAGGAAGAAGUCAUCAAACGUGUUAAAUGCUCAAGAACCAUGUGAAGCGAUAUGAAUCCACUUUUGCAAAUGAAGAAUCUGAGCCUGAAGGAAGAUUAGAGACUUGCUCAAGAUUUUACAGACAGAGGACUCAGCAGAGGACUCCAAGGCCCUAGAGAACAAUGGGACUGAAUAUACAACAGGAGGAGCCUGGGUUCCUGAGAGACUCUGUGGAGCAGAAUACCCACCCUUCCCUCUACCCCAUUGGCCUUUGCAUGAGAGAGAAAUAAAAUUCCAUUUUAUUACUGCUGAGAUUUUGAAAUGAUUUGUUUCAGCAGAUAGCCUCCCCUAAAUAAUACGAUAAAAUAAAGAUUGACAUGAUAACUUUUUUUCCGUGUGUCAAGGAUGGAUUUAUUCAGCAUUGGAGAAGAUUUUAUGACUCAAAACUCAAGUGACAGUGUCCUGAAAUAAAAGCUACUCCAAGAUAAAGAAAUGUUCCAGAACUCUUUUUAUCAUCUGUUAUUUCCUUCUCUAUUAAAAGAGCUACUUAGUGACAGCUCAUAAUUCUUUUUUUUUUUUUUUUUUUGGAAGUUUUGCCUUUACCUUUUACCUAGUUUACUGCAUAUGAUUUCUCUCAUUUUAAUUUUUUUGC
ensembl:lncRNA